AGGACUAUAUAGACCUAUCCGUAAAGUCUAUAUAGAAAGGCGUCUUUAGACCUUGCAGUGGAAAGAGCAAGAAGAAAAGGGUGGUCGUAGAUCAGGGAGUAGGAGAAGGGAAGAGAAGGGAAUGUUAAUUGAGGACGAGUAGGUGAAGAAACCAAAGCAAGGAAGCCUAGUUGGCUGUAGCUUUUUAUGACGGCUUCCAGAGAAAGGCUUCGUAGCCAACCCAACGCUACCUGUGACCCUAGAGUGCUGUCUGUAUCAAAGACAUAAAAGCGGUGAUCAAGUCUUCCAUAUCAAGCAAGGGCAUCGUCAGAUGU